UACAGAGGUGGCAAGCGUUGUUCGGAAUUACUGGGCGUAAAGGGCGCGUAGGCGGCUUGGUCAGUCCCGUGUGAAAUCCCUCGGCUCAACUGAGGAACUGCACGGGAAACUGCCUGGCUUGAGUUCGGGAGAGGGAAGCGGAAUUCCGGGUGUAGCGGUGAAAUGCGUAGAUAUCAGGAGGAACACCGGUGGCGAAGGCGGGUCUCUGGGCCGAUAUCGACGCUGAGGAGCGAAAGCCAGGGGAGCAAACGGG
rnacentral:rRNA from 1 species